rnacentral:rRNA from 1 species
AGAGUUUGAUCCUGGCUCAGGACGAACGCUGGCGGCGUGCUUAACACAUGCAAGUCGAACGGGAGGAAAAGAGAAGCUUGCUUCUUUUUGAAUCUAGUGGCAAACGGGUGAGUAACACGUAAACAACCUGCCUUUAGGAUGGGGACAACAGACGGAAACGACUGCUAAUACCGAAUGUGUUCCGGAGACCGCAUGAUUUCCGGAAGAAAGGAUGGCCUCUAUUUAUAAGCUAUCGCCUGAAGAGGGGUUUGCGUCUGAUUAGGCAGUUGGUGAGGUAACGGCCCACCAAACCUACGAUCAGUAGCCGGUCUGAGAGGAUGAACGGCCACACUGGAACUGAGACACGGUCCAGACUCCUACGGGAGGCAGCAGUGGGGAAUCUUCCGCAAUGGACGAAAGUCUGACGGAGCAACGCCGCGUGAGUGAUGACGGCCUUCGGGUUGUAAAGCUCUGUGAUCGGGGACGAAUGGCUGGUAUGCUAAUACCAUAUCAGAGUGACGGUACCCGAAUAGCAAGCCACGGCUAACUACGUGCCAGCAGCCGCGGUAAUACGUAGGUGGCAAGCGUUGUCCGGAAUUAUUGGGCGUAAAGCGCGCGCAGGCGGCUUCUUAAGUCCAUCUUAAAAGUGCGGGGCUUAACCCCGUGAUGGGAUGGAAACUGGGAGGCUGGAGUAUCGGAGAGGAAAGUGGAAUUCCUAGUGUAGCGGUGAAAUGCGUAGAGAUUAGGAAGAACACCGGUGGCGAAGGCGACUUUCUGGACGACAACUGACGCUGAGGCGCGAAAGCGUGGGGAGCAAACAGGAUUAGAUACCCUGGUAGUUCACGCCGUAAACGAUGAAUACUAGGUGUAGGAGGUAUCGACCCCUUCUGUGCCGGAGCUAACACAAUAAGUAUUCCGCCUGGGAAGUACGAUCGCAAGAUUAAAACUCAAAGGAAUUGACGG